GACGAACGCUGGCGGCGUGCUUAACACAUGCAAGUCGAACGGUAAGGCCCUUCGGGGUACACGAGUGGCGAACGGGUGAGUAACACGUGGGUGAUCUGCCCUGCACUUCGGGAUAAGCCUGGGAAACUGGGUCUAAUACCGGAUAGGACCACUGCCUGCAUGGGUGGUGGUGGAAAGCUUUUGCGGUGUGGGAUGGGCCCGCGGCCUAUCGGCUUGUGGGUGGGGUGAUGGCCUACCAAGGCGACGACGGGUAGCCGGCCUGAGAGGGUGACCGGCCACCCUGGGACUGAGAUACGGCCCAGACUCCUACGGGAGGCAGCAGUGGGGAAUAUUGCACAAUGGGCGCAAGCCUGAUGCAGCGACGCCGCGUGAGGGAUGACGGCCUUCGGGUUGUAAACCUCUUUCAGCACCGACGAAGCGCAAGUGACGGUAGGUGCAGAAGAAGGACCGGCCAACUACGUGCCAGCCGCCGCCGUAA
rnacentral:rRNA from 1 species